GACGAACCAUGAUGUUCAUUUAUUUGGUGUUGUGGGGAAUCAGGACUGUUACUUUGAAAAAAUUAGAGUGUUUAAAGCAGGCUCACGCUUGAAUACAUUAGCAUGGAAUAAUGAAAUAGGACGUUUGAUUCUAUUUUGUUGGUUUCUAGGAUCGACGUAAUGAUUAAUAGGGAUAGUUGGGGGCAUUAGUAUUCAAUUGUCAGAGGUGAAAUUCUUGGAUUUAUUGAAGACUAACUACUGCGAAAGCAUUUGCCAAGGAUGUUUUCAUUAAUCAAGAACGAAAGUUAGGGGAUCGAAGACGAUCAGAUACCGUCGUAGUCUUAACCAUAAACUAUGCCGACUAGGGAUCGGAUGAUGUUAAUUUUUUAAUGACUCAUUCGGCGCCUUACG
rnacentral:rRNA from 1 species